ensembl:ncRNA ZK643.13 ncRNA
GCCACCACCGCAGCCGCCACCGCAGCCGCCUGAAAAUAUGCGUAAAUUAUUUUUAAGAAAAGGGAUUUUCAAAUCUACCUCCACCUCCUCCUCCUCCGGCGCUAGGGAAGAGGAAUGACGAAACGUGGAUCGUCAAUAGGAAGAGAACUA